rnacentral:lncRNA from 1 species
AGAAAACCAAGUGACUAUGAGGGGGAUGGGGCAGUGUGAGAUGACGGGACCAGAGCACGUUCCUGGCUGCAGAGGCCACAAGUCACGCUGUCUCUGAGAGUGGAAUGUCACCAUCGCCCAGGUGGGGAUUUUUGUGUGUUUUGUUCACUGCUGUACACCCAGCCCCCAGCACAGCGCCUGUCCAGGACAAGUGCCCAGUAAACACUUGGGAAGCAAUGCAAGCGUCCUCCCAGCAGCUCCUGCAAACAGACCCCCGACCCAAGCCCUUCCUUCUGCCUCCACUGCCACCACUGCUGCUCAUCUCUGCUGGCACAGAAGUCUCUUCCCUGGUCUUCCAGAAAUCCCCUCUCCACACUCAGCCAGAGGGAGCUAUUAAAACUGUGGGCCAGCCCACAUCAGUCCACAGCAAAGUCCUCUCUAAGGGAUCUCUGUUGCUUGGAGAAUAAACCCUCGGAUUCCUUCCUUGGCUCUCGGGGCCUCCUCUCUGACCUCCCUCUGUCUCCUCUCCCAGCCUUCCUCCUCACUCACCCUCCAGCCAUGCUGGCUUCCUCCUUGCUCCUGAAACAGCCUGAGGCCCACACUGCCCCGGGCCCUUUGCACUGGCUGUUUCCUCUGCCUGGAACACUUCUCCUAGGCAUCCACAGGGCUCCCUCCCACAACUCCUUCGGGUGCCCACAUGGGAAGCCAUCCCUGACCACCCCCCCGACUUCCUUCUGAGCAAGCUUUACUGGGGUGUAACAAACACACGAUAAACUGCGCAUAUUCCAGUGUUCAUGUGGAUGAGUUUGGACAUAUGCACACACUUCCGAAACCACCAGCACAAUCAAGACAGCAGACAUAUCCAUCGCCCCCAAGGGUGUCCUUGUGUCUUUUUGUCAUUCAUCCCUCCCGGCCGCCCCAUCCACACUCCCAUCGCCUGCCGACUGUGGCUGAUCUGCUUUCUGCGGCUGUGGAUUAGUUUGCGUUCUCUACAAUUUUCUGAAGCACCAGUUAGCCCAGAUGCUUCUCAUCUUUGGAGUUGAGCUGCAGGCUGGAGACCUGGAAGGCCCUCGCAGCGCCUGCUCCCAUCCUCUCACCUCACGAAAGCGCAGGAAUGUGGGUUUGGAGCCAAUGAAAAGUACUGGAAUCUGGCUCUGCUCUGUGACCCUGGACAAGUCACUGCCCCUCUCUGGGCUUCAGUUUCCUCCUUGCUCCAUGAGGGCAGGGGAUUUUGUCUGUUUCAUUCACAAUGUGUUCCCAGAGCUCAGCACAGUGUCAGGCACACACUAGGUAACAGCACCUCGACUUCCUACUGAAGAACCCCCUCUUCCCUUUUCUCAGUCCAUGAGGCUGGGGGUGCCCAGAGGCCUCUGUCUCCAGGGGUGGACAUGUGACCGGGUCUUGCUCUAGUGAUUGGUCCAGGGAUGGGCACAUGACUGAGCCUGCCCAAUGAAACUUGAUCUUGGGACUUCAGGGUUGGCCAUGAUUUGUGAAGGAGAUGCCAUUUUCCAUUGGAUGGACAGUGAGCAAGUGAACGCUUAGAGAAGAAGAGGACAAAACAAGGGAAAAGCCUGCCUGACAGGAAGCAGCACAGAGCUGGACAGGCUUUGAACUCCUGGAUCCCACUGUACCUGAAAUUAGGCACCUUCAACUUUCUAGUUAUGUGAGCCACUGUCUUUCCCAUUUUUGGCUGAAAACAGUUGGGACUGGCUUUCUGUCCCUUGCAUACAGAAGGUGCUGACUGACCCCUGCCCCAUGGAAGAAGAUACUCCAGGCAGAGGAAAUAGUGUGUAUAGACACCCCUAAGCGAAUGCCAAGCGGGGCACUCAUGUACCAAGAAGAAGGAGGAGGAGGCACCUGGGAGCUGAGCUUAAGAGUUAGUCGGGUGGUCAAGGUGGGAGAAGGGGGUAUCUUUAGCAGAGGGAACAACCAUUGCAAAAGCUUGGAGGGGUGACUAGUUAGUGAAGAUCAACUGUGUGCUGAGCUCGUGUUGGGUGGCAAGGGACACAGACGAAAAGGGCACGGUGGAACCCAGCUACUUCUCACCUGCUCCAGCGCAGUGCAGGCUUGUCUGCUUUUGGAGCCGAGCCUGGACACCUCCGUGUCCUUCCCCCGGCAGAGUGCUGCCAGCACGCUGUCUCAGACUCUCCAGCAUCUCCUGGUUGAUGUGCAUCAUGGGGACCACACAAGAUUAUUUUAUAGGCUGCACAGGCAAAGCAUAAAAUCACCUCGGGUCACAUAGCGAGAGUUAUUCUCUCUGCAAAUUCUUUACAGUCUUUCCUUUAUAUCCAGAAGAGUCUCUGUGUGGUGCUAACUUGCCUCGAAGACCAAAUAAUUGCUAGUCUCCCUUUGUGAAAAGGAGAGCAGGUGUCAGGCUCAUUCAUGUCUCAGGCACACAAUUGUAUCUAGCUAGACUUUUCAAAAUGUCCUAUAGAGCUGCAGCACAUAUGAAUGAGGUGUCCAGCUGGUCCCAAACCUGUAAUCGGCACCCCAGUGAGCAGACUGGACAUCCCCACCCCCACAGCUGCCCUUUCUCCCCUCCACUCAUGUUCCCUCUAGGGCCACCACGAUCCCGACUUGUAUCACCACAGAUGAGUUUCACAUGUUUUUGAAUUUUACAUCUUAUCUGUUUUCUGUUCCUAUACAAGUUUGCCUUUUUUGAAUUCCAUAUAAGUGGGAUUCUACAAUGUGUUAUCUCAAUUUGAGUCUGUUUUUUUUUUCCUGCUCAGCAUGAUGUUUUUGAGAUGCAUAUAUGCGGUUUUGUGUAUCUGUAGAUGGUUCUUUUUUAUUGCAGAAUAAUGUUCCAGGGUAUGGAUGUACCAAAGCUUGUUCAUCCAUUCACCAGCUGAGGGAUAUUUGGACUGUUUCCAGUUUUCAGCCAUUAUAAAUAAAGCCACUAGAAACAUUUGCAAA